CUUCACUAUAGAUUUGCUUAUUCCAGUACUUCAUUUUUCUCUGUCUAAGACUAAGAGAGAAAAUCAUGGAUUCCCAGGCGGUGAAGAGAACACCUUCUUCCCGCAAAGAAACUGAAAUGCUCCGAACAGCCAUGAAGCUGCUUCUAAUACUAGUGAUGCUGGGCUAUCUCAUGAUGUGGUUUAUGAUGCCCACUAACACAUACCGUCAUAUAUGGCUUCUCCAUAUCCGAAAUAAGUUUAAUUCCGCUUACUUUGGCAUACAAGGUGCAACCCUGUUGAUAUACUUCUUCCCCAUUCUUUUCGUUGCUGUCUUGGGCUGUGUUUAUCUCCACCUGGGGAAGAGAUCAAAUCACAACAAUUUCGAAAGCAAUGGCAGAAAACACAUCUUGACCACUUGGAAGAAUCCGAUGGUAGUGAAAGGCCCCCUAGGAAUCGUUUCUGGAGUAGAGCUGGCCUUCUUGAUCAUGUUCGUCGCACUACUAAUUUGGUCUCUAUCAACUUAUUUACAUAACAGCUUUGCUACUAUUACUCCGAAGAGAGGAGAGCAAGCAUGGGAAGCUAAACUGGAGAGUGCGGCCCUUAGGCUAGGGUUAAUUGGGAACAUAUGUCUGGCAUUUCUCUUCUUCCCGGUGACUCGUGGGUCAUCGGUGCUGCCACUGCUUGGGCUCACCUCUGAGGGUAGCAUUAAGUACCAUGUAUGGAUUGGUCAUAUGGUGAUGGCAUUCUUCACUGCACAUGGACUUGGCUACAUCAUCUAUUGGGCUGUUACAAAUCAGAUUUCCGAGAUGCUGAAAUGGGGUAGGGCUGAGAUAUCAAACGUGGCUGGGGAGCUAUCUUUGCUGGCUGGGCUGGGCCUGUGGGCGACAACCUUCCCCCGCAUAAGGCGAAACAUGUUUGAGCUCUUCUUCUACACUCAUCAUCUCUACAUUCUCUUCAUGAUUUUCUUUCUCCUGCACGUUGCCAUCUCCUUCUCCUGUAUUAUGCUCCCUGGAUUUUACCUGUUCUUGGUCGAUCGCUACCUGAGAUUCUUACAAUCUCGACAAAGAGUUCGUUUAGUUUCAGCCCGCAUUUUGCCAUGUGAAACUUUAGAAAUCAACUUCUCUAAAAGCCCAGGUUUGAGUUAUAAUCCAACCAGCGUUCUAUUUGUAAAUGUGCCUACCAUUUCUAAGCUGCAAUGGCAUCCAUUCACUGUCACUUCUAAUAGCAACUUAGAACAAGAGAUGUUGAGUGUUGUGCUUAAAAGUGAAGGGAGUUGGUCCAAGAAGCUGUAUCAGAUGCUUUCAUCACCUUCCUCAAUUGAUCGUCUUGAAGUUUCAGUUGAAGGACCUUAUGGACCUGCUUCAACUCAGUUUCUAAGGCAUGAUACUCUUGUGAUGGUGAGUGGAGGCAGUGGAAUUACUCCUUUCAUAUCUAUAAUUCGAGAACUCAUCUUUGCAGCCACAACAUACAAAUGCAAGACUCCACAAGUAAUCCUAAUUUGCUCAUUCAAGAACUCUUCAGACCUAACCAUGUUAGACCUGCUACUUCCAAUAGCUGGUACCCCACCAGCAAUUUCCAAUCUGCAACUUAAAAUUGACGCUUAUGUUACGAGAGAGAAAGAACCCUCAUUCAAUAACUCGAAACUCCUUCGAACUAUAUGGUUCAAACCCCACCCAACAGAUGCACCUGUUUCGCCCAUUUUAGGCCCCAGUAGCUGGCUCUGGCUUGGCGCUAUAAUAUCAUCUUCUUUUAUCAUUUUCCUCAUCAUAAUUGGCCUUAUUACCCGCUAUUAUAUUUAUCCUAUCGAUCACAACACCUUGAAAGUUUUCUCAUACUCUUUUCGAUCCUUUCUGAAUAUGUUAGUAAUAUGCAUAUGCAUAGCCAUGACAGCAAGUGCAGCAAUUUUGUGGAACAAGAAACAAAAUGCAAGGGAAGCAAAUCAGAUUAAGAACCUUGAAGCGUACACAUCAAGUAGAACACCAGGCUCAUGGUUAUAUGAUGCUGAGAGAGAAUCGGAAAGUCUCCCUCUUCAGUCUCUUGUCCAGGCUACUAACGUGCACUAUGGUGAAAGACCUGACCUAAAGAGAAUGCUGGUUGAUUGCAAAGGAUCAAGCGUGGGAGUUCUUGUUUGUGGUCCGAAGAAGAUGAGGCAUGAGAUUGCAACAAUUUGUUCAUCUGGAUUGGCAAAUAAUUUGCACUUUGAAUUCAUUAGCUUUAGUUGGUGAUCUCAUCUUUUUCUUCUUCAUUUUUUUG
rnacentral:misc_RNA from 1 species